UACAUGGGGUGCAAACGUUGCUCGGAAUUACUGGGCGUAAAGCGCGUGUAGGCUGUUCGGAAAGUCGGGUGUGAAAGCCCUGGGCUCAACCUAGGAAGUGCACUCGAAACUCCCGAACUGGAGUCCCGGAGAGGAAGGUGGAAUUCUCGGUGUAGAGGUGAAAUUCGUAGAUAUCGAGAGGAACAUCGGUGGCGAAGGCGGCCUUCUGGACGGUGACUGACGCUGAGACGCGAAAGCGUGGGGAGCAAACAGG
rnacentral:rRNA from 1 species